GGAGAAUGAGCUAUCCCAGCGCUUUUAAUAGCGCUGGGACAGGUCUCUCCGUUCCCUUAUGAAAAGAGUCCUGUCCCAGCGCUUUUAAAAGCGCUGGAAUAGGGUCCACCUAUUCCAGCGCUUCUAAAAGCGCUGGGACAGGCCUCUCCAAAACGCUGGGAUAGGUCCCUCGUACCACUUAAAAAUUUUCAGACUUCCCACUUAUUUUUUUCACCUUCCCACAACUUUGGCCUCUCGUUUUUGGUUUCCCUCUUCUUUGCUUCAGAUGUUUUCCUUUCACCCACAUUUUCUCUCCCUCUCUCUCUUCCUUAACCCAUUUCCCCUCCUCCUCCCUUUUUCUUUACUCAAAACCCACCAUUUUUUUUCCAAAAUUUCAAACACAAAAAUAUUACCCAAAACCACAAACCCUACCCAAAGCAAGGUAAGUCUCUCUAGCUCUCAUUUCUAUUUUGUAGCAAUAUUUGUAUAUAUAUUUUUUUGUUAAAUUUCUGGUUUUUUAUUUUUGAUUUUGGUUGAAGUUUGGUUUGGGUUAUGUGUAUAUGUUUGUGUAACUGUUGGUUGAUUGUAUGGGUUUUAAUUUUGGUUUUGGUUAAAUUUUAGUUCAUUUUGUGGCUUUUCAUUUUUUAUUUUGGUUAAAGUUUGCUUUAUUUUGGAGGAAAUGUAGGUGGCAGUAGUGCUAACAAAAAUUUUCUCUAAGGUUUACAUCAGAAAUCGUUAAUCUACCUCUGUACAAAGCAAGGUAAGUCUCUCUAGCUCUCAUUUCUAUUUUGUAGCAAUAUUUGUAUAUAUAUUUGUUGUUAAAUUUCUGGUUUUUUAUUUUUGAUUUUGGUUGAAGUUUGGUUUGGGUUAUGUGUAUAUUUUUGUGUAACUGUUGGUUGAUUGUAUGGGUUUUAAUUUUGGUUUUGGUUAAAGUUUAGUUCAUUUUGUGGCUUUUUAUUUUUGAUUUUGGUUAAAGUUUGCUUUAUUUUGGAAGAACUGUAGGUGGCAGUAGUGCUAACAAAAAUUUUCUCUAAGGUUUACAUUAGAAAUCGUUAAUCUGCCUCUGUACAAAGCAAGGUAAGUCUCUCUAGCUCUCAUUUCUAUUUUGUAGCAAUAUUUGUAUAUAUAUUUGUUGUUAAAUUUCUGGUUUUUUAUUUUUGAUUUUGGUUGAAGUUUGGUUUGGAUUAUGUGUAUAUUUUUGUGUAACUAUUGGUUGAUUGUGUGGGUUUUAGUUUUGGUUUUGGUUAAAGUUUAGUUCAUUUUGUGGCUUUUUAUUUUUUUAUUUUGUUUAAAGUUUGCUCUAUUUUGGAGGAACUGUAGAUGGCAGUAGUGCUAACAAAAAUUUUCUCUAAGGUUUACAUCAAAAAUCGUUAAUCUGCCUCUGUACAUUUUUUUUUUUAAAAUUUCGAUUCUCUGAUAUAAGGAAAUUGGUAUAACUUAAAAUAUUUCAUCUAUCUGAUUAUUACACUUAAAAUCAUUACCCUGUUGCUUGAAAUCGUGUAGUUGGUAGUCAUUUUCCCUUGCAAAUAUUGUCUUGAUGGUGGCUUUGGUUGCUUGGCUCUACCUUGCAGAUCUAUUUGAGCCUUGUUUAGGGGCAUUAUGAGGCAAUAUGACAGUUGCAAAUGCACUGGUGGAAACAUAUUAUCUCUAUUUAACUUAUUAUCCUCAUUGUUUGUUAACCAUCCUUUGUGUGAUUAUUGUUAUUAAUCCUCGAAAAACAUAUUUAAUAUGGACUGGUUGAUACUAUGUUAUAAGACUGCUAUGUUAAUCAUUAGGAGAUAGAUUGUUGCAUAAUUUUCUGCAAAUAAUUUUAAUUUUGAGAUUGCUUUAUACUGAAACACAGGGCAGGCUUUUAUUUCUUACUUGGCAACUGUAGUUUAUAUUUGCUAUGUUGUAUUGUAGGCUAUUUCUGUGGCUGAAAGAGUUGCUGAUGAGUGUUGUGAACCUUCACCAGACUAACAUUACUGCCAUAGAUAAAACAGUAAUGGUUGUGUUGGAUAUUGAGAGACUUGCACAAUCCUCAGAUAGAGGUUGGGGGAGCCCAAAAGUGACUGAGUGGCAGCUUGUUUGAAGUUUACAUUCUUCUUUCCGUGGGCAAACACUGGGAUUGCCAAAGGGUGAGUAAGAUCUACUUCUUAAUUCCCUUAAAUUGUAAAAUAAUGUGGUGGGUUGUUGUUUAGGAGCAAGCAGGUGGCUUGCAUGGAGAGAAAAGGUGGAAUAUAUUGGGAGUGUUGUUUGUUUUGUGAAUGUUAACAUAUUGUUGUUCAAUU